UACGAAGGGCGCUAGCGUUGUUCGGAAUUACUGGGCGUAAAGCGCACGUAGGCGGGUGGUUAAGUCAGGUGUGAAAUCCCGGCGCUCAACUUCGGAACUGCCUUUGAUACUGCCCAGCUAGAGGUCGGAAGAGGUGAGUGGAAUUCCCAGUGUAGAGGUGAAAUGCGUAGAUAUUGGGAAGAACACCGGUGGCGAAGGCGGCUCCCUGGACCGAUACUGACGCUGAGGCCCGAAAGCGUGGGGAGCAAACGGG
rnacentral:rRNA from 1 species